GGUGUGUGUACUUAGGGACAUAACGAAGCAAUCGUUCCCCUUUUACUAAAGAUUGCCGUGUAGUAAGUAUGUUAAAUACAAUAUACCACGAAUUUUUGUCGCGCCUAUUAAGUUAGGUGCU
rnacentral:snRNA from 1 species